ensembl:lncRNA
CAGAUGGAAGCAGGCUAUAGGAACCAGGCAUGGCCCAUGCACAACCUCGAUGCUGCUUGUUCUGUCCCUCCGGUGCUGAAAGAGCAUGAGAAGAGGAACCAUGGGAAAUGGCUGCUUUGGCACUCAGCCAGCCUACUAAAGACUCUCCACGAGAUACCCAUCUGCUGCAUUUGUUAGAGCUUGUCACCCUAACGCCUAGGGGCUGAAAGGUAUUGAUUCUGCCUGUGUCCAGAUGGAUGGUUCGUGGGACAUCCCCUGCUCCUCCCAGCACUACACCAAUUCUACUGUUGACACUUAGAGGACUGCCAAUUUCAGGAUAGCCUCAAACUUACAAGGAGAUUGUGAGUCCUACAGGGACCCUCCCAAGCUGAAUAUUGUCCAUGCUGGGUAUUAUGAAUGUGAGUGGGGAAGCAUGCAAGGUUCACGAAUUGGACUCUGGGUACAGUACUUCAAGCUGCCUUAAUCUCUGAACCUAAAGAAAGGUUGAGGGGGAAAAUUCAGCCACCUUACAACUUAAAGAGAUUGGAUCUCAUGUCAAGGGCAAUGGAUAAAUACCUGUGUGUGGUAACAGAGGGCGUAACUGCCUUAAUGAUUCUGGCAUCAGAGAUCCAGGAAUUUUGGUCAGUUAUACAUAUGGAGCAUUGCCCAGGGUCAAGGACAACAGGCUACAGGCUGAUGAACAUCAGCCUUUCCGAGCUCUCUGUCCAGCCUGUAGCUCACUCAUCCAACACUGUUUUCCUUUUGCAAAUAUAGCUGGCAGAAGUCUGACAUUCUCUUUCACAAAGAUCCCAGGGCUCAUAGCCCCAUAACUCACAGUGGGAUACACUGCACUUUGGCACUUUGGUUUGGUGACUAGGCAUGCAAGUAAUUCCUGGUGAUGACAUCUCCUGUGUGUAUAACCCGCUUUCAUGACUUCAUGCACAUCUAUCACAGGAAUGGGAAAAGCUCUUGUGAUUUUUGAGGGCUCUUCUACUAGGCUGCUUGGUCCCUCUUGGCAUAACCAUCCAGUCCCACUGCAUCGCUACUUGGCUUCCUCUAUUGAACUAUGUUGUUUGAGAAUAUCAGCCCCUGAAAGUAAGAACACUGCCUUCCUCACUCUCUCUCUUUCUGGAAAAUGUCUGCCUCAGUUUGGUACAAUUACAUUAAUAUAGUUAUAAUUCUAGAAGGAUUGUAGCAAGUAAGUAAUGCAAUAACUUUCCAAUCUUCUCAAAGAGAUUUAGCAGAGUCACAAAGACUCUGACAAAAGGAAAGCAGGACACACUGACCUAAAAGGUCUUGGCUGUCUUUAAUUUUUCUGAUUGAAUUCACGAGAAGAGAAAAUUACUGGAAGGAUUUUCAUUUUCAUUUACUUCCAAAGUCUGGGUCCAAAUGUUAAAAGAGCCCAGAAGGGUUAAUGUUCACUAGAGUUCAUCUUCUGCCAAAGACUCCCUGCU